CCACAAAAAUAAAAAUAUACUAAUGAUGGCUACUACUACCUAAAAUACCCUUUUAUAUUUAUCUUUUAAAAUCUAUAGAAAGACAAUUGAAAUUUAAAAAUAAAAAAAUUCAACAAAUCUAAAUUUAAUUUUUAUAAUAUUAGUUAAAAUCUGUAAAUAUAAAUCAAAACCCUAACAUCAAAAUUAAAAGUCUCUGCAUCCUUAAAACUCUGAUCGCCCCCAACCCUUCUCUACCCAGACGUCGUCGCCGGACAAGCGCCAUCGCCGAUUUGCCGCCUACAUCACCGCUGCUGCUGUUGCAACUCGUUUCAUUGUCGUUGCUGUGCUUCUUCAUCUCAUCAUCACAGUUUCGCCAAAUCGUGCCGUCGUCUAGAGCCACUAUACCCCAUCGCGAUGCGCCUCCGUCCAACGCGCUUGAAUCGUACCACCAUCAUUGUUGAUUUCCAUGCUACAAGUCUACAACCACCAAUUUUGGUCUUGGUAAGGUAACCACCAAAUAGUUGUCUUGCCAUUCUUCUUCUUCAUUUUGAUAUCAUUAUUUUCAUGGAAACUUAUAUAUAUAGAUUAAUGGUUAAUACAAUUCUUAACCAAUCUGUUUUCGUUGAAUACAAGCAACAAACAACAUAUGCUGGUGAAGAAGUGAAGUGUUGGAGAAGAAGAAGAAAAUUGAACAAAUUUGUUGAAGAAGUGCAUAAAAGAGUACUUUCAAAGAAGAAGAAAAUGAUCAAUGGAUAAAAGAAAAAGAGAUAGAGGAAUAAGAAAUUAAUCGAACAAAACAAAUAAGACGGAAGAAAGAACUCUCACAGUAAAAGAAGAAAGAAAAAGAAAAUAAGAAAAGAAUUUUAUUCAUACGAAAUUUUGUAUGUUUUUAAAUUAUUUUGAUAUAAAAUUUGAAAAUAAAUCAAAUGAGUGAAUAUUUUAAUUAAAAAAAAGGGUAAAGUUGUCUCUUUCAUAUAAAAUUGAUUAAUAUUAGUAUAUUUUUAUUUUUAUGAUUACUAUUAACGUUUUUGCAUUAUUUGAUUUUCGAAUAUCAACAUCAACUACAAAAAACUAUGACAACAAAAAUAAAACAAAAUUUAUUAAUAAAUUUGAAUUAUUAAAUUAUUCAAAUUAUUAAGAAACUAUUUGGCUUAAAAAUUUUAAAUAAAAAUUAUUAAUUAUACAUAUAAUUAUUUAUCUAUUAAAUUAAAAAUAUAUUUAAAAUAUUAAACACUAGCUCUUUAACAUGUCUAAAAGCAUUGCCUCAAUAUCAUUGAGAGUCUUGUGAUGGAGGAGUAGUUACUAAUUUUAUAGUCCAUUCGUCCCGUAAAAGUGUAUAACAUAUGGGAUUACUUGAAAAUUUUAAGAAAAAUAUUGAAAGAUAAUGUGUUGAGUGGAAAUGAGUAAUUGUGGUUGAGUUGAUUAUGUGGUUAUGUAGAAAUAUGUGAUUGUGAUAAAAAAAAAAGUAAGUUUAUUUCCCAAAAUAAAAAUGAUACUAUGAGACGAACGAAAGUAAAAAUAUGAUACACUUUUACAAAUCGAAAGGAGUAUAUAUUUAGAAUCCGUUUGAUAGACUAGAUAAACCCACGAUAGAAGAGCUAUUUGGGUUUAGCCAAUUACUAUAUCUAUUAAAGAUGCCUGUGUUAAAAAUGUUGUGUUGAAGAUAAAGUCGCCAAAUUCACCAAGUAUUUUACUAUUCUCUACCGAUAAUAAAUCACGCCUGCCCCUCUGAUUAUUAACGGGUCUUCCAACAGUAAUCAAACUAACAAAAGUCUUACACUAAAUUACCCUUAAAAUUGUUUACAACCAUCUUUUGCAGCGAUUCCGGUGGAGUGCCGCCGCCGCGUGUUUGUUGCAGGUGGUGUGGUGGUUAUGGCUGC
rnacentral:lncRNA from 1 species